rnacentral:rRNA from 1 species
UACGUAGGUGGCAAGCGUUAUCCGGAUUUAUUGGGCGUAAAGGGAACGCAGGCGGUCUUUUAAGUCUGAUGUGAAAGCCCUCGGCUUAACCGGAGUAGUGCAUUGGAAACUGGGAGACUUGAGCGCAGAAGAGGAGAGUGGAACUCCAUGUGUAGCGGUGAAAUGCGUAGAUAUAUGGAAGAACACCAGUGGCGAAAGCGGCUCUCUGGUCUGUAACUGACGCUGAGGUUCGAAAGCGUGGGUAGCAAACAGG